rnacentral:rRNA from 1 species
CAGCCGCCGCGGGAAUACGAGGGGGGCAAGCGUUGUUCGGAAUUAUUGGGCGUAAAGGGUGCGUAGGCGGUUUGGUAAGUCUUAUGUGAAAUCUUCGGGCUCAACUCGAAGUCUGCAUGAGAAACUGCCGGGCUUGAGUAUGGGAGAGGUGAGUGGAAUUUCCGGUGUAGCGGUGAAAUGCGUAGAUAUCGGAAGGAACACCUGUGGCGAAAGCGGCUCACUGGACCAUAACUGACGCUGAGGCACGAAAGCUAGGGGAGCAAACAGGAUUAGAUACCCCCGUAGUCCCUGUCUCUUAUAC